AUUGAACGCUGGCGGCAGGCCUAACACAUGCAAGUCGAGCGAGCGGCGGACGGGUGAGUAAUGUAUGGGGACUGCCCGAUCGAGGGGGAUAACUACUGGAAACGGUGGCUAAUACCGCAUACUAUCGGAUAACCCAUAUGGGAUUAGCUAGUAGGUGGGGUAAAGGCUCACCUAUGCGACGAUCUCUAGCUGGUCUGAGAGGAUGAUCAGCCCCACUGGAAUGGAGACACGGCCCAGAGUCCGACGGAGGAAGCAGUGGGGAAUAUUGCACAAUGGGCGCAAGCCGGAAACAGCCAUGCCGCGUGUAUGAAGAAGGCAUGAGGGUUGUAAAGUACUUUCAGCGAGGAGGCGUUACCCGCAGAAGAAGCUCCGGCUAACUCCGUGCCAGCAGCCGCGGUAAUUC
rnacentral:rRNA from 1 species